rnacentral:rRNA from 1 species
GAUCAUGGUCAGAUUGAACGCUGGCGGCAGGCCUAACACAUGCAAGUCGAACGGUAACAGGAAACAGCUUGCUGUUUCGCUGACGAGUGGCGGACGGGUGAGUAAUGUCUGGGAAACUGCCUGAUGGAGGGGGAUAACUACUGGAAACGGUAGCUAAUACCGCAUAACGUCGCAAGACCAAAGAGGGGGACCUUAGGGCCUCUUGCCAUCGGAUGUGCCCAGAUGGGAUUAGCUAGUAGGUAGGGGG